CCUUGACGGUGAACGACGCUAGAGCUUCGUAGGAGGAUCGAGUUUGAUUCACAAGAUGAACAAAGGACGAGCGGUGAGUUUAGUGCUGCUGCUGGGGACGACGCUGGCAGCGGCUCGUGUACAGAUUCAGGAAGGCAGGUACAGCGGGCUGAGGGUGGCCGUGGCUCCUGAUGCAGAGGAACCUUUAGAUGGCCAGCAGUUCAUUUCUGAUGUCAAGACCUUCAUAAGGGCUGGCUCAGAGGCCCUGAACUUCGCUAUGGACAAUAGAGUCUCAUUCCAUGACUUCACACUCAUCAUACCGAGGACUUGGAACGCCUCCAAGU
rnacentral:lncRNA from 1 species